GACGAACGCUGGCGGCGUGCUUAACACAUGCAAGUCGAACGGAAAGGCCCUGCUUUUGUGGGGUGCUCGAGUGGCGAACGGGUGAGUAACACGUGAGUAACCUGCCCUUGACUUUGGGAUAACCUCAGGAAACUGGGGCUAAUACCGGAUAGGAGCUCCCGCUGCAUGGUGGGGGUUGGAAAGUUUCGUCGGUUGGGGAUGGACUCGCGGCUUAUCAGCUUGUUGGUGGGGUAGUGGCUUACCAAGGCUUUGACGGGUAGCCGGCCUGAGAGGGUGACCGGCCACAUUAGGACUGAGAUACGGCCCAGACUCCUACGGGAGGCAGCAGUGGGGAAUAUUGCACAAUGGGCGGAAGCCUGAUGCAGCAACGCCGCGUGCGGGAUGACGGCCUUCGGGUUGUAAACCGCUUUCGCCUGUGACGAAGCGUGAGUGACGGUAAUGGGUAAAGAAGCACCGGCUAACUACGUG
rnacentral:rRNA from 1 species